GCCGGGCUGGGCUCAGUGGCAGAGCGCUUGCCUGGCCUGUAUGAGGCCCUGGGUUCGAUUCCCAGCACUGCA
rfam:Ictidomys tridecemlineatus contig106255, whole genome shotgun sequence.